rnacentral:tRNA from 1 species
GCCUUGCUCUGGUUUUUCUCUUCUCUAUCCAGCAGCCUGGGUUGGUAUCAGCCACGCCGGUCAACCGUGGUGGGGG